rnacentral:sRNA from 1 species
CGCUCUUUCGAUCUUCUUGGUGGUUUCCCUACUCAUGUUGUUCACCACUCCGGCAACUGAGGCCACCUUCCUCCUGAUUGCCUGCAUGUUGCGGUCACCAAUGUGCCCGUGGAUUACC